rnacentral:rRNA from 1 species
AAUGAACGCUGGCGGCGUGCCUAACACAUGCAAGUCGAGCGAAAGGACGAGAAGAUUGUGUUCUUGAUGUUAGCGGCGGGCGGGCGAGUAACGAGUAGAUAACAAACUUCUAUUACGGGGAUAAUAACGGAGGAACGGAUAUGAUACCAGAUGAUAUGUUGAACCGCAGAGUUCAAAGGUGAAAGACGGCCUUGCUGUCUGUAAUAGCGGGAUCCGCGCUGCAUUAGCUGGUUGGUAAGGUAACGGCAUACCAAGGCGACGAUGCAUAGCCGACCUGAGAGGGUGAUCGGCCACACUGGAACUGAGACACGGUCCAGACUCCUACGGGAGGCAGCAGUAGGGAAUCUUCCGCAAUGGGCGAAAGCCUGAUGCAGCAACGCCGCGUGAGUGAUGAAGGUCUUCGGAUCGUAAAGCUCUGUUGUUAGGGAAGAACAUCUGUGUGAUUAACCGUGCACAUCUUGACGGUACCUAAUCAAUAAGCCCCGGCUAACUACGUG